AGUGAACGCUGGCGGCGUGCUUAACACAUGCAAGUCGAACGAUGAAGCUGGAGCUUGCUCCGGUGGAUUAGUGGCGAACGGGUGAGUAACACGUGAGCAAUCUGCCCCUGACUCUGGAAUAACUGCGGGAAACUGUAGCUAAUACCGGAUACUUUCACUGGAAGGCAUCUUCUGGUGAAGAAAGAAUUUCGGUCAAGGAUGAGCUCGCGGCCUAUCAGCUUGUUGGUGAGGUAACGGCUCACCAAGGCGACGACGGGUAGCCGGCCUGAGAGGGUGACCGGCCACACUGGGACUGAGACACGGCCCAGACUCCUACGGGAGGCAGCAGUGGGGAAUAUUGCACAAUGGGCGCAAGCCUGAUGCAGCAACGCCGCGUGAGGGAUGAAGGCCUUCGGGUUGUAAACCUCUUUUAGCAGGGAAGAAGCGAAAGUGACGGUACCUGCAGAAAAAGCACCGGCUAACUACGUGCCAGCCGCCGUAAGAC
rnacentral:rRNA from 1 species